rnacentral:tRNA from 1 species
CUGGCGGCGGCCGGGUCGGCCGGGUCGGCGGUGGAAGCGCCGGAGUCGGACUGCCCGCGAUCGUCGCGCGGCAGCUCGGC